rnacentral:rRNA from 1 species
ACUAGUGGCGGACGGGUGAGUAACGACGUGAGUAACCUGCCUCUGAGAGGGGAAUAACGUUACUGAAAAGAACGCUAAUACCGCAUAAUGUAUCGAAGCCGCAUGACUUUGAUACCAAAGAUUUUAUCGCUUGGAGAUGGACUCGCGUCCGAUUAGUUAGUUGGUGAGGUAACGGCUCACCAAGACCGCGAUCGGUAGCCGGACUGAGAGGUUGAUCGGCCACAUUGGGACUGAGACACGGCCCAGACUCCUACGGGAGGCAGCAGUGGGGGAUAUUGGACAAUGGGGGAAACCCUGAUCCAGCGAACCGCCGCGUGAGUGAAGAAGUAUUUCGGUAUGUAAAGCUCUAUCAGCAGGGAAGAUAAUGACAGUACCUGACUAAGAAGCCCCGGCUAACUACGUGCCAGCAGCCGC